rnacentral:rRNA from 1 species
UACGUAGGGUGCGAGCGUUGUCCGGAAUUAUUGGGCGUAAAGGGCUCGUAGGCGGUUUGUCGCGUCGGGAGUGAAAACCUUGGGCUUAACUCAGGGCUUGCUUUCGAUACGGGCAGACUAGAGGUAUGCAGGGGAGAACGGAAUUCCUGGUGUAGCGGUGAAAUGCGCAGAUAUCAGGAGGAACACCGGUGGCGAAGGCGGUUCUCUGGGCAUGAUCUGACGCUGAGGAGCGAAAGUGUGGUGAUCGAACAGG